UAGGGAAUAUUGCGCAAUGGGGGAAACCCUGACGCAGCAACUCCACGUGUGGGAAGAAGCAUUUCGGUGUGUAAACCACUGUCGAUAGGGAAUAAACGUCGUCUUCGGACGGCCUGAAUGUACCUACAAAGGAAGCACCGGCAAACUUCGUGCCAGCAGCCGCGGUAAUACGAGGGGUGCAAGCGUUGUUCGGAAUCACUGGGCGUAAAGGGAGCGUAGGCGGAACUCCAAGUCGUUCGUUCAAUGCCGGGGCCCAACCCCGGACCUGCGGACGAGACUGGUUUUCUUGAGUUAUUCAGAGGCAAGCGGAAUUCCUAGUGUAGCGGUGGAAUGCGUAGAGAUUAGGAAGAACACCAAUGGCGAAGGCAGCUUGCUGGGGAUUAACUGACGCUGAGGCUCGAAAGUGUGGGUAGCAAACAGG
rnacentral:rRNA from 1 species